rnacentral:rRNA from 1 species
AUUGAACGCUGGCGGCAUGCUUUACACAUGCAAGUCGAACGGCAGCGCGGGCUUCGGCCUGGCGGCGAGUGGCGAACGGGUGAGUAAUGCAUCGGAACGUGCCCAGUAGUGGGGGAUAGCCCGGCGAAAGCCGGAUUAAUACCGCAUACGACCUGAGGGUGAAAGCGGGGGACCGAAAGGCCUCGCGCUAUUGGAGCGUCCGAUGUCGGCUUAGCUAGGUGGUGGGGUAAAGGCUUUCCAAGGCGACGAUCCGUAGCUGGUCUGAUAGGAGGACCAGCCACACUGGGACUGAGAAAGGGCCCAGACUCCUACGGGAGGCAGCAGUGGGGAAUUUUGGACAAUGGGGGAAACCCUGAUCCAGCAAUGCCGCGUGCGGGAAGAAGGCCUUCGGGUUGUAAACCGCUUUUGUUCGGGAAGAAAUCCUCUGGGCUAAUACCCCGGGGGGAUGACGGUACCGGAAGAAUAAGCACCGGCUAACUACGUG